AGGGAGGGCAGGGGCCCUGGGUUUAGUUUUCGGGGAGGAGGUGGCCAGUUUAGGGUCUCAGGGGACAGGUGGAGCUGGGCUUAGUUUUCGGGGAGGAAGUGGCCAGUUUUGGGUCUCAGGGGACAGGUGGGGGAGAUGGCAGAGUUAGAUGGGACUGUGGGGGUGGGGGGUGCCAGGAGAAGGAAGGUUGAAGGGGACACUAGAUGUUGGGGGAACUGUGCUGGGAAGAGGUGCGUCGGAAGUGCCCACAAUAACUCAGGGGGCUUAGAACACCCUAGGCCAGGCUGUCGCAGCUGCUUGCUGGAGAAGGGGAGCCUGACCUCUUGGAGGGCGCCGCUCCUGUGUAGGCGGAGCGGCCCCCAGUGCCCUGGUUUGUAUGGAAGGAGGAAGGCAGAGAGACAGGAGGAGGAGGCUGAUGGUCUCGCGGCCCUUGCUGGAGGCACACUUGGGCAGUGGACGCCCUGAAAAUGAGCAGGAAGGAAGGCAGUGGGGUACAGGGACGCAGAUGGGCAGGGAGGGCAGAACUUGAACUUGUCAAUACCAGCAGCCCCGUUUUUUUCCAGACAGAGGGUUGUGAACCCGCCUGGGGAUGAGGCCUGGUGUUGGGGAAACUGAACUUAGCUUCGCGGGGCUGACAGUUCUGGCCCAGGGUGGUAUGUGAUUCUGGCUCGGCCUGGGACAGGGUCCAGCCAGGCCCAGCUGGGUGGAACCCAGGUCUGGGUGUGAGGGGGGUCUAGGGAGUGAUGGAGGUCAGGUGCCACCCUGAGCGGUUACUGGUAUGGCGCCUCGUGUAUCUGACAGGCGGGAACUGUAGGCAGACAGAAUUGACGCCCACUUUGUUUUCCAGGUGGCAGUGCACCCCCUUUGGACUUUUCCUCUAGGUUCCAUGCUUACUUCUUCUGUGACUUCACUCUGACCCUCCUCCUCCCUCUAACUCUCUCGAGGUUACCCCCUCACUUAAAACGUUGCUUCUGGUAAUCUGUGUUCAUCAUGGCAAGCUGAUGGCACCAGGAGAAAUGGAGCCCCUGGCCAGUGUGAGUCGUAGCAGUGCAGGAGGGGAGACCCUGGAGGAGGAGAGAGCCCGCCUAAGUUGAUGUCUACAGAUUGAAUUUCCAGAGGCUUAGGAGGAGGAGUUCUCCAAUGUCCUGUUUCCAGGCCUUGCUCAGGAAGCCCUGUAUUCAUUCAGGAGACCAUCCUUUAAGGUUUUCAGAUGAGCUUAUGAGGGGGCAAUCUUUAAAAGUCCAAAGCAGAUGCAUCCGGGGCCUUCAGCAGAUGUGUUUCUUUGAGUGUGUAAUCCGGGAGCAGCGAUCUCUGGGCACGUGAAUGCCAGCAGGCACCUCUCCUGUUCUGGGGUGGAGGUUUCCAGAUGCUGCAUCUUCUAAAUUCAGCCUCCUGUUGUACUAGUUCUGUGCUACGAACCUUGCUUCCAGAGGACUCUUAAGCUGUAGAACAUUUUAACGCGAUGCCACAACACAGAGUGCUGCCUUGUAGAUGGAGCUUUGCAGAUGGAUCCCAGUGACCCUCUCAUCUACCCGCCUGCCUUCCUGUGCAUUGGUCGGAGGAAUUCUUAGUGUGAUGAUAUAAUCUGUGUGUUGGAAAAGUGUUCAGUAUUGAAAUGCCUUAGGUAAAUACUUAAAUGAGCCAACUGGCAAAUUGAGGGGGGUCAUUGUACUGUGCUGGAGGUACGAGUUGGUCAUGCCCAAAUUGUGAUAGAAAUGGCAGGUCUAGUUUGGGCAUUCCUACUAAGAAGGGAGUGGUCAGGGUACCGAUAGUGAUCUUUGAUUCAUCUUGCUCUAUGUGUGUUUUAACUUCAGUUUUACUUGAUCAGAUUUCAGAGUAAUCUUAGUGUUCAAAUGGGAGGACCCUGAGGUGAGGGGUGGUAGGGAGGGAAAAGCCUGCCGCAGGUGCUGGGAGGGGUGGGCGUGAAGAAAGGGAGAAGGGGGGAGGAGGGUUGCGGUUAGGUGUGGGUUGUAGAGGGUGGGAGUGGUAGGGAAUGUGGGUUGAAGGGAAUUCUCUGGAGAAAAGAUCAGUAGGCAGAGCUCUGGGGAAUUAUAUAGAGCUCAUGGGCGAAGAAAACACUAGUUAAUAGUAAAUUGUUAAUGCUAGUUAAAUUAUCGCUUUGAAGCACAAAAAACAGUUGCUUGGAAACUUUCUAAAAUGCUUAGAACUCUGCUAAGUGCUGGGGAAAAAGCAAAAUUGUUUUGCUUUGCUGCAAGAUGGGGAAGACUGAAAAGGUAACUGAAGACCUGGUUAUCGGUGGCUUGAAAGAUUGGUGUCAGAAACUUGCAUCAGCAGGUUAACAUCCUUCACUGCUUUCAAGCUUCUUACGUGGUUUAUCUGGAGAUGUGUGGUAUUUGGGAGAGGUCUUCGAAAAGACUUUAAAUACCCAUAUUGUGGGCUUUUAAAGUAAGCUUGAGAUUUUGGAGUGCACUUAAGAUGGUGAGAUGUAGUCUUCUGGGUUUGCAACAUAUUUUUUCACUGAGGUUUUGCAGUUGAAAACUUCAGCCAAGUGAAAAUGCAAUGAUUUCUAAAGGAAUUUUGUGUUACUUCCUGCCUUAUAAGCACAUCUCUUCUUUGUGAUGAGUAUUAGAAACAGCAAGAGUUUUUACUUUUCGUCGUCAUUGUAACAAGGAGAACCUAAUGACUUUUUGUGAUCGCUGUAAAAUUACUGUAAUAUUUGGCAGCAAACAAUCCACGGAGGCGCACUAAGGUUACAGCUAGUAAUCCACUGUAUCUUCAGUUUGAAUGUUUGUGUUUUUUAAGUGAUAACCGUACUGGAGGGGAAACUAUCAGCCAAAAUCAGUUUGGGAAAUAAGCAGAACUGGGGAUGGGGAGGUGCUUUAUUGCUAGAUUAUGGUCUGUUUGUAAAAAUUCAGGGAAAGAUCUGAAUCCUUUGUGAUAAAGUAAUACCAGUGGCUUCUUUAUCAUGUCCCUCUUCCCAUUGAAUUUCACUUUGAAAAUUUUAAAUCCCAAUAUUUAUACACUUAGGAUCUUUCUAGGUUCUCUUUUUAAUGUUUAAAAAUAUGUUGACAUGAUAGUUCAGUUCUUAACCCGUGAUUUGGGCAUGAUACAGUAACUGUCUGGAAUUUAAAGAAUACUAGUCAUGCAUGUAUGGGGAAACGUGUUCCGGUAAGCUGUUGUGAAAUUGAAACUGUAAAAGUGGGAGGAAAAAGCACUUUUAUGUUGCUCUGUAUGGGAAGAACCAGUUUUGUUACACCAUGUAUGUGACUACUAAUCAUUUUUCUUCCCCUUUACAGCAUGAAUAAAGGUUUGAGUUCUAAACUCAUUAGAA